AAGAGGCAGAAUGUUCAAAUAUGAGCCCCAGAAGAUUGAUUUAUGCUAAAGGAAUUUCAGAAAUAACUUACAUCCAUAUCCAUGAAUGUGAAUUCUUCUCUAUUGGAAUAUUUUGUUUGCCUGCAGGGGGAGAGCUGCCAUUACACGACCAUCCAGGGAUGACAGUGAUGAGCAAGCUUCUUUAUGGCUCUGUUCAUGUAAAAGCUUAUGAUUGGAUCAAAAUGCAAAGCUCUUCUAAUGGCCGAACGUUUGGUUUGGGGAAGAAGGU
rnacentral:misc_RNA from 1 species